GACGAGGAGGAGGAGGACGACGACGAGGAGGACGAGGAAGAGGGGAAUGAGGAGAACGAGGAGGAAGAGGAAGACAAGAAGGUGCUCAAAGAGGACCGAAUCUGACAAAUGAGAUCCGCGCAACACUGGUUGACCACGUUGUCAACCACGGCCUGACGCUGAGGGAGGCUAAAAAAGAAACAUAUUCAAAUGAAGCAAAUUUAUCGAGUGCCUUUCGAGCGCAAUUCCGAAAGGGUAAAACGACUGCGGCAUGAUUAUGCAGAGAGUUUUACGAAUGGAUGGAGAGGAGAUCCAGCAUGAGUUCAUUUACGUAGAUGAGGCUGGGUUCAACCUGACGAGAACACGAAGGAGGGGAAGAAACAUCAUUGGCCACAGGGCUAUAGUCAAUGUCCCAGGGCAACGUGGGGGUAAUAUAACACUCUGUGCAGCCAUUACACAGAAUGGGGUCCUCCACCGCCAUGCCCAUAUGGGCGCUUACAACACAGCACUCAUGCUUACAUUCUUGGACCAAUUGCGCAA